AGAACGAACGCUGGCGGCAGGCUUAACACAUGCAAGUCGAGCGCACCCUUCGGGGUGAGCGGCGGACGGUUAGUAACGCGUGGGAACGUGCCCUUUGCUUCGGAAUAGCCCUGGGAAACUGGGGGUAAUACCGGAGUGUGCCCUUCGGGGGAAAGAUUUAUCGGCAAGGGAUCGGCCCGCGUCUGAUUAGGUAGUUGGUGGGGUAAACGGCGUCACCAAGCCGACGAUCGGUAGCUGGUUUGAGAGGAUGAUCAGCAACACUGGGACUAGAGACACGGCCCAGACUCCUACGGGAGGCAGCAGUGGGGAAUCUUAGACAAUGGGGGCAACCCUGAUCUAAGCCAUGCCGCGUGGGUGAUGAAGGCCGUUAGGGUCGUUAAAGCCCUUUGCCGGGGAAGAUAAUGAACGGUACCCCGGUAAAGAAACCCCCGGCUAAACUCCCGUGCUAAGCAAGCCCGC
rnacentral:rRNA from 1 species